GGCAGCAGUAAGGAAUAUUCCACAAUGAGCGAAAGCUUGAUGGAGCGACACAGCGUGCAGGAUGAAGUCUUUAGGGAUGUAAACUGCUGUUGUAAGGGAAGAAAAAACUAGAUAGGAAAUGAUCUAGUCUUGACGGUACCUUAUUAGAAAGCGACGGCAAACUAUGUGCCAGCAGCCGCGGUAAUACAUAGGUCGCAAGCGUUAUCCGGAAUUAUUGGGCGUAAAGCGUCCGUAGGUUUUUUGUUAAGUUUAAGGUUAAAUGCUAAAGCUCAACUUUAGUCCGCUUUAGAUACUGGCAAAAUAGAAUUAUGAAGAGGUUAGCGGAAUUCCUAGUGGAGCGGUGGAAUGCGUAGAUAUUAGGAAGAACACCAAUAGGCGAAGGCAGCUAACUGGUCAUAUAUUGACACUAAGGGACGAAAGCGUGGGGAGCAAACAGGAUUAGAUACCCUGGUAGUCCACGCCGUAAACGAUGAUCAUUAGUUGGUGGCAAAAGUCACUAGCACAGCUAACGCGUUAAAUGAUCCGCCUGAGUAGUAUGCUCGCAAGAGUGAAACUUAAAGGAAUUGACGGGAACCCGCACAAGCGGUGGAGCAUGUGGUUUAAUUUGAUGAUACGCGUAGAACCUUACCCACUCUUGACAUC
rnacentral:rRNA from 1 species